rnacentral:rRNA from 1 species
AAAACAUGUCCUUUUGUUUAUUUAAAAGGUCUGGCCUGCCCAGUGAUAUAAGUUUAACGGCCGCGGUAUAUUGACCGUGCAAAGGUAGCAUAAUCAUUAGUCUCUUAAUAGGAGGCUGGUAUGAAAGGUUUAACGAAACAUAAACUGUCUUAUUUAUAAAGUUAUAAUUUAACUUUUAAGUUAAAAGGCUUAAAUUUUAUUGGUGGACGAGAAGACCCUAUAGAGCUUUACAUUAACUAUUUUAGUAUUAUUUUGUUUAAUAAUUUUAUAUUAAUUUAUUUAUUGUUUUGUUGGGGUGACAAGAAAUAUAUGAUUAACUUUUUUAUUUAAUAGACAUUAAUUUUUGGUUAUUGGAUCCAAUAGUAUUGAUCAUUAGAUUAAGUUACCUUAGGGAUAACAGCGUAAUCUUCUUUCAGAGUUCAAAUUUACAAGAAGGCUUGCGACCUCGAUGUUGGAUUAAGAUAAUAAUUGGGUGCAGUAGCUUGGUAAAUAGGUCUGUUCGACCUUUAAAUUCUU